CAUAACCGACCAGCGGUUUACUGAGUUGUUCAGCAGAUUUGACAACUUAGACAUACGUCAACGAUCACCUGGCCCAAGAACACGAGGCGGAAGGCAUAAUUAGUUGUAGUUUCUUUUUCCUUUCCCUACUGUAUUUCCUUCCCUUCAAACAUUGAGGACUAUGUUUAAUUUAAGUAUGGGGGGAAAACCAUGUUCUUUCUAUUUCCAUUUUUUU
rnacentral:lncRNA from 1 species